rnacentral:rRNA from 1 species
AUACGUAGGGGGCGAGCGUUGUCCGGAAUGACUGGGCGUAAAGGGCGUGUAGGCGGCCGAUUAAGUCUGGAGUGAAAGUCCUGCUUUCAAGGUGGGAAUUGCUUUGGAGACUGGUUGGCUUGAGUGCGGAAGAGGUAAGUGGAAUUCCCAGUGUAGCGGUGAAAUGCGUAGAGAUUGGGAGGAACACCAGUGGCGAAGGCGACUUACUGGGCCGUAACUGACGCUGAGGCGCGAAAGCGUGGGGAGCGAACAGGAUUAGAUACCCUGGUAGUCCACGCUGUAAACGAUGAAUGCUAGGUGUAGGGGGUAUCGACCCCUCCUGUGCCGGAGUAAACGCAAUAAGCAUUCCGCCUGGGGAGUACGGCCGCAAGGUUGAAACUCAAAGGAAUUGACGGGG